rnacentral:rRNA from 1 species
AUACGUAGGGGGCGAGCGUUGUCCGGAAUGAUUGGGCGUAAAGGGCGCGUAGGCGGCCCGGUAAGUCUGGAGUGAAAGUCCUGCUUUUAAGGUGGGAAUUGCUUUGGAUACUGUCGGGCUUGAGUGCAGGAGAGGGAAGUGGAAUUCCCAGUGUAGCGGUGAAAUGCGUAGAGAUUGGGAGGAACACCAGUGGCGAAGGCGACUUACUGGACUGUAACUGACGCUGAGGCGCGAAAGUGUGGGGAGCAAACAGGAUUAGAUACCCUGGUAGUCCACACUGUAAACGAUGAAUGCUAGGUGUAGGGGGUAUCGACCCCUUCUGUGCCGCAGUUAACACAAUAAGCAUUCCGCCUGGGGAGUACGGCCGCAAGGUUGAAACUCAAAGGAAUUGGCGGGG